CAGAUAGACAAGGCAACAGCCAAACAAGGGAAAGUUGAGUAUAGUUGUGACAGACGGUGUCGACGGAGGAACAGUCAGUGGUGUAAGUGAAGACUUGGUCAAGAAUAUGGGUCUCGGAUCGUAUUGCAUCGCUGAAUGUAAACUCAUUCUAUGGAGUAGUUGGAAAAGGAUACUCACAAUGUGAAGGUUCAAGGUAAUGACCCCCAAGGGAGGACACUUGGGGCAGGUAAUAAGGUUUGAAGGAUCAAGGUGAGGACAGUAUUGAUGCUCGCAUUUUACAAGUUGCACAUGCUGUUCAAUCGAAGAAUGCUAAGGAUCAAAUCUUGCCAAAUGUUGUCAAUGAAAGUGUUGGUGAUUUGGAUGUAAAGGAAGACAGUACUAGCUUAUGAUUUGGUUUUUUUUUUUAAGUCUCUGAAUGAAUAGGUAUUAUCAACUUAUGUUAUUUGUGUUUGCCUUUUUGGGAACAUUUGUGGUGGAGUUCUAAUUGCUUGACAAUGUAGUCAACUUCUCAA